rnacentral:lncRNA from 1 species
GAGAAGGAGCAGGAGGCCCCCGUGCAGUCUGUGAGGCUGAGAAGCCUGGCCUUUAGGCAGGAGGAGAAGCUGGGAUCCAUGUCACUUAAGCAGUGUAUGGGCAAUGUCACAGCCAUGAAUGGAGGAAAGCCAGGGACUGAAUCCUAAUCCAGCCAGAGGGUGAUGAGAAAGAUGGACUUGGACUUCAAAGAAAUGAAAAAGCAUCAGAGAGAAGGAGAGACAGGGGUCUCAGAUACAGAGGCCACCGUGAAUCACAUCACCCAGCCCUGCAGUUGCCUUGCACCUCCUGCAUUAGCGGCACCAGUGAUGCGUGUCUGUCAUCUCCCCUGCCACGGUUUGCAUCCCUAGCCCAGCACCGGGAUGGAUGAAAGGGAUCAGAGUCCAAGAGGAGCCUGCUCUUCAAAAAUGCCUAGCGACAAACAGUCCUGGGAGGAUGGCCACAGGGAAAUGGAAGAGAAAACUGAAUUAUUCUGAUUUACCUUCUCUUGUUAAUCGGGUCCCUUUGCAACCACUAGAGACUUUCAGGAAAAAAAAUCAGCUUAUUUAUCUCCUUUCAUAUGGAAUGUAGGUUUUUGAGGUCUCAUUCUAUAUUCCUUAUGUAUCCUUAAAGAAAUACUCUAGAGAUAAGACCAGUUUCUGGAAGAGGUGGGGGUGAGUUAAAGAGAGGAGCAAAUUCUUCUCUGGCCCAAGAAAGAAAAUGCAGCUCAAUUUCUUUUCAGGACCCCAGGAAAAGUCCUCAUGUCCAGAAACUCAUCAGAUUCACUUUAUCUUUGUGAUCCUCUCUGAGUCUAUCUCUGCUAUUAAGGUUGUUGCUGCCCAAAGACUCCCCACACACAACUCACCGAAAGGGGCUGGUGAGAAUGUCAGGCCUGCCCCCGAUUCAGUAGCUCAGUGACUAGAACUAACUCUAAUUUCAAGGUUGAGGAUUUUAUAAUUUCAGAGGUUCCUGGGGCAACUGUUUCUGGAAAAUAAACAUCCUUGAGAGUAAACUGGAUUUCUUGGAUGAGUGCACUGUAUGGGUGCUGUGUCUUGGAACAGUCACCUCCUUUCGUCUUCUGCACACAGGAUAAGAUUUUACUCAUUUUUCAGUCUUGGUCAAGGGAGUAGAGGACAGAGUUUUAGUGAAGGAGGGAGCCUGCCUUAGGCAUGCAUUUGAGCCCCACUAUCCACUAUUUUUUUUUUUUUUUUUUUUUUUAUUGAGACUGAGUCUUGCUCUGUUGCCCAGGCUGGAGUGCAGUGGCACAAUCUCGUCUCACUGCAACCUCUGCCUCCCGGGUUCAAGAGAUUCACCUUCCUCAGCCUCCCGAGUAGCUGGGACUACAGGUGCCUGCCACCAGACCCAACUAAUUUUUUGUAUUUUUAGUAGAGAUGGGGUUUCACCACGUUGCUCAAGCUGGUCUCAAAAACUCCUGAUUUCAGGUGAUCUGCCCACCCCGGCCUCCCAAAGUGCUGGGAUUACAGACGAGAGCCACUGUGCACAGCCUAGCCCCACUCACUCUUGACUCUUCACAUCUUCUUGGUUUUUUAUUUUUUCUUGGUUCUUCAUAUUUCAUUUAUGAUUCUCUUGUACCUAAGUUUUGAUGACUAAUUAGGGUAGAGAAAAUGGAGACCAACAGAUAAAGGAAAGCCAACCUACACAUUCAUAAAGGUCCUUAGAGGGCCUGUGAAGUAUUUUUACUAUUUCAAACAUGAAAAAUAUGUGUUUAUUUGAGGAACAGUGCAACAGGUGAACUACAAUAUCUGUGUCUUUUUCCUUCAUUUGGAAUUGAAUUGGUUCAAAGUGGCAGUUCUGCUUAUCUGAAGCUGAUCAGAGCUGUGAUUGGCUAUGAUGUCAGCACUAUUUCUUUUUCCAUAACACUUUGAUCUUCUAAUAUGUUACAUUAUUUACUCAUUUAUGGUGUUAGUUGGAUUGUGUUAGUUCUCUUUCUAGAAUGGAAAUUCCAUGAGGAUGGGGGAUUUUCAAAUAUUUUGUUCCCUGUUAUAACCCAAGCCUCUAAAACAGUGUAGGAAGUACAAUAUUUAUUGUGAAAAACAACAAACAAAAUGAGUAUUUAUAGAAAGUUUGAAUUCAAGCCAGUAAUUUGUUGUAGAGUUCCUACCUUUUCUUUCUUUCUUUCUUUUUUUUUUUUUUUUUUUGAGAUGGAGUUUCACUCUUGUUGCCCAGGCUGGAGUGCAACGAUGUGAUAUUGGUUCACCACAACCUCCGCCUCCUGAGUUCAGGCAAUUCUCCUGCCUCAGCCUCCUGAGCAGCUGGGAUUACAGGCAUGUGCCACCACGCCCGGCUAAUUUUGUAUUUUUAGUAGUGCCCGGCUAAUUUUGUAUUUUUAGUAGAGACGGGGUUUCUCCAUGUUGGUCAGGCUGGUCUCAAACUCCCGACCUCAGGUGAUCCGCCUGCCUCGGCCUCCCAAAGUGCUGGGAUUACACAUGUAAGCCACCGUGCCCGGCCUAGAGUUCCUAUCUUAUCUACAUUCUCUUCUUGUCCCAGAAUGAAUGCAGAGAAUUUCAGGGGUUCUCCAAACCCCCUACCGACCUAGUUUAACUGUACUGGAUGACAAUAUCCGAGGAAGCCACUAAUAGAGAGAGAAGAAUGUCAUGGAAAGCAUACCAGCUGGGUCAUUGCAGCUCUUUCCCUGACUACCUGGUUGGUGACCCUGGGCAAAGUGCAUGUAUCUCCCAACCUCUAACGAAUGAUAAAAGUACCAACUUCACUGUAUCUUUGAGAGACUGAAACAAAGUAAUACAUGCCACAAGUGGUGAGCCUGUUGUUUGUCACAUAAUAAGCAUUCUACAAAUGUUAAUUUUUCUCUUCUAACUUUGAUAGGCAAUAAAACCAAGGGGGAAACAAGCUAUAAAGUGACGCAUUUUUCACAGCAAUAGCUCCUAGGGGGUAAGUAUUGUUUCUUUUGUGAGUUCUUAACAGUUUCUUACUUCUGAGUACUCAAAGAAACUAUAUCAUCACUAAAUAUUACUUUCCAGGCCAUUAACCUAUCUUAUCAGAGGCAAGUAAAAAAUAUUAUCAUUUGAUUAUUGACUUACUACAGCUACUAUUCACAUGUGUGUAGGGUACUUCCUUCUCCAAUUAGAUUAUAAAAGCUACCUGUAUUUUCCAUAGUGACUUAUAAUACUGCUUUGUGUGGACGUGGCCAAUAUAUUUUGUUCACAGGUUGUUUAAUGAAGAGUUUCUAACAUUUUAUUAAACGUCACAUGCUGUGCUUAAUGAAGAGAAGUUCCCCUAAAUCCCAAAGCAUAGAAUACAUCAGUCUUAUGCCUGAGCCCCAUCAUGGGAAUUCUGGGUCAGGUUUACAUGGGGAAGGCAGAGGCAUCCUGCUAUUCUGCACCUCUGGCAUGCCUGGGUCUCUAGAUUCACUGCUGCCAUAUCCCUGGGAGCUGGUGCCAAAGGACUGUCAGUAUGUCUGGGCACCUUCCCGAAUCUCAAACACAAGUGGAAAAACAUAGGCUCUUCUGGGGAUACAAUUGAUAGAUGACAUUAAGCAAAUUGCUUGGGAGUUGAUGACUAAACAAGGCCUCAAGGGUCCAGCCCAGGUAUAUGAAAGAGGACUUAGGAAGGUAACAGCCUAGACAUGAACACAUUUUUUCUCAGGUGUUAUCUUAGCCUCAUUUUCAAAAGAAUCACUCAGAGAGAUUUUUGAAACAUAGAUUCAUAUGUCCAGCCCUAGACCUGCUAAAUCAAGAUUUCUGUAUUUACAAAACAAAACAAAACAACAACAACAAAACCUUCUCAGAAGAUGUUGGUGCAGCGAAUCCAGUUCAUUAGCAAUAGAAUUACUAAAUUUUUCUACACCUAUUGUUGCCAAG